GCCUAACACAUGCAAGUCGUACGCUGUUCUUCCUCUUCGGAGGAAGGACGGAGUGGCGGACGGGUGCGUAACACGUGAGCGACCUGCCCUUUUCCGGGGGAUAACCAGGGGAAACCCUGGCUAAUACCGCAUGCGCGCAAAUCCCGCAUGGGAGUUGCGUAAAAGGGGCUUCGGCCUUGGGGGAGGAGGGGCUCGCGGGGUAUCAGGUAGUUGGUGGGGUAAUGGACCACCAAGCCGACGACGCCUAGCUGAUCUGAGAGGAUGAUCAGCCACAUUGGGACUGAGAUACGGCCCAGACUCCUACGGGAGGCAGCAGUGGGGAAUCUUGCGCAAUGGCCGAAAGGCUGACGCAGCGACGCCGCGUGCGGGAGGACGCCCUUCGGGGUGUAAACCGCUGUCAGAGGGGAAGAACACCGUAGGGAGGCAAUGCCCUGCGGCUGACGGUACCCUCAGAGGAAGCACCGGCUAACUCCGUGCCAGCAGCCGCGGUAAUACGGAGGGUGCGAGCGUUGUUCGGAAUUACUGGGCGUAAAGCGCGCGUAGGCGGCUUCUUAAGUCGGACUGUGAAAUUUCGGGGCUCAACCCCGGACCUGCAGCCGAUACUGGGGAGCUGGAGACAAGCAGAGGCAGGUGGAAUUCCGGGUGUAGCGGUGGAAUGCGUAGAGAUCCGGAAGAACACCGGUGGCGAGGGCGGCCUGCUGGGCUUGGUCUGACGCUGAGGCGCGAAAGCGUGGGGAGCGAACAGGAUUAGAUACCCUGGUAGUCCACGCCGUAAACGAUGGGCACUAGGUGCCGGGGGGAUCGACCCUCUCGGUGCCGGAGCUAACGCGUUAAGUGCCCCGCCUGGGGAGUACGGCCGCAAGGCUGAAACUCAAAGGAAUUGACGGGGGCCCGCACAAGCGGUGGAGCAUGUGGUUUAAUUCGAAGCAACGCGAAGAACCUUACCUAGGCUUGACAUGCACGUGAAACCCUGGUGAAAGCCAGGGCCUCCUUCGGGACACGUGCACAGGUGCUGCAUGGCUGUCGUCAGCUCGUGUCGUGAGAUGUUGGGUUAAGUCCCGCAACGAGCGCAACCCCUGUCUCCUGUUGCUAACAGCAGCUUCGGCUGGCUGAGGACUCUGGAGAGACUGCCGGUGAUAAACCGGAGGAAGGUGGGGAUGACGUCAAGUCAUCAUGGUCCUUACGCCUAGGGCUACACACGUGCUACAAUGGCCGGGACAAACCGAAGCGAUGCCGCGAGGUGGAGCGAAUCGGAGAAACCCGGUCUAAGUUCGGAUUGCAGUCUGCAACUCGACUGCAUGAAGUUGGAAUCGCUAGUAAUCGUGGAUCAGCUACGCCACGGUGAAUACGUUCCCGGGCCUUGUACACACCGCCCGUCACGCCAUGGGAGUCGGGAGCGCCCGAAGUCCGUGAGCUAACCGCAAGGAAGCAGCGGCCGAAGGCGAGCUCGGUGACUGGGGCGAAGUCGUAACAAGGUAGCCGUAGGGGAACCUGCGGCUGGAUCACCUCCUU
rnacentral:rRNA from 1 species